AACCCUUAUCCCUAGUUGCCAUCAGGUAAAGCUGGGAACUCUGGGGAGGACUGCCGGUGAUAAACCGGAGGAAGGCGGGGAUGACGUCAAGUCCUCAUGGCCCUUACAUCCCGGGCUACACACGUGCUACAAUGGCAGGUACAGAGGGCUGCGAAGCCGCGAGGUGGAGCGAAUCCCAGAAAACCUGUCUCAGUCCGGAUUGAAGUCUGCAACUCGACUUCAUGAAGUCGGAAUCGCUAGUGAUCGCAGGUCAGCAUACUGCGGUGAAUACGUUCCCGGGCCUU
rnacentral:rRNA from 1 species